rnacentral:lncRNA from 1 species
GCCUCACCCACCUCCUCUGGGGUGGCGAGAGAACCCACCAGCCACACACAGGCGCUUCCCACAGGGACUGAAGGGGGCCUGCCUGGUGAACAGAAGCUAAGUGGACACAGCUGCUUAAAAUUUGCUGGAACUUCAAUGUUUUCUUGGAGAAUGAUUCAGACGAACAGGAAAAAUAACGAACAGUAAAC